AGCCGUGUGGCGAGCACAGAGCGAACUAUUCUUUCGCCUUUUACUAAAGAAUACCGUGAGCUCGCCACAUAAAGCAGCAUGCACCAAUUUUUGGAGGGGUUGAGUUCAACCAC